GACGAACGCUGGCGGCGUGCCUAAUACAUGCACAUAGAACGCCUUUUCGAACGGGUUAGUAACGCGUAGUUAACUGCCUCCUAGCUGUGGAUAACUAUUGGAAACUCUAGCUAAUACCGCAUACUUUGAGAUGGCCCUGCGUUGUAUUAGCUAGUUGUUGAGGUAAAGGCUCACCAAGGCUAAGAUACAUAGCCGACCUGAGAGGGUGAGCGGCGACACGGGGACUGAGACACGGCCAAGACUACUACGGGAGGCAGCAGUAGGGAAUCUUCGGCAAUGGACGGAAGUCUGACCGAGUAACGCCGCGUGAGUGAAGAAGGUUUUCGGAUCGUAAAGCUCUGUUGUUAGAGAAGCGGUAACUAACCAGAAAGGGACGGCUAACUACGUGCCAGCCGCCGCGGUAAUUC
rnacentral:rRNA from 1 species